CUAUGCUGAUCAGUGUUUAACAGCUGGCUUUCCAAGUCUCUUUCUAGCACCCGACUCCAGUACUCUUGCCUGGAAAAUUCCAUGGAUGGAGGAGCCUGGUAGGCUGCAGUCCGUGAGGUUGCUAAGAGUUGGACACGACUGAGCGACUUCACUUUCACUUUCUUUCUACACGCCUGAGAGUAGAUAGUUGACAAUGACCUUUGAACAAGCAUCACUGAUAGGUAGCAUGAAAACACGAGCAAAAUAUGCAUCUAGAAUGUUUCAAGUAGUGAGCUGGCAGUGAAGAAACUGUUCAGAAAAUAUUUGUUAGGCAAUAUCAUACUUAUUAGAAAUAUAUGCGAUAUUUUUAUUUCAACUGUUAAUUACUAGAACUAUGAAUUGGAAAUGGACCAAAACAGUAUUUUUGCUUUACAUUAUAUUUUUAGACACAUUAAUUCAUUUGAUAAUUUCCAUCUAUACAUGUAAAAAUAUUCUGAAAAUGGAAAUAUUUUAAAAUUUAAUUUUAUUGGCCUAUCACCCCUCCAAAAUUUAAAUGUUUCCUAAAAUUUUUCAUCAAAAUCACCAGUUUAAAACUCUUAUUGAUCUUAUCUCAAAGGAAACUGAACUUAAUAAUAAUACUUUUCAUUUAAAAAAUGUCUGCUCCUGUGAUUCUAGAAUUUUUAUCCCCAUUUUACAUAUGUACACACUGGUGAUGUGUGAUGAGUUAGAACUCAAGUGCAGAUUGUUUUUAACUAAAAAUUCAAAGCAUUUUAUGACACUUGUUGGAAACAACAUUUAUUUUUGAACCUAUUACUGGAGCCUUCCCCCAAAUUUUAUGGAGAUACUAUGAAAUUUCCUUUGAAUGAUUUUUCCUUUUACUUUAUUAAUUGUUGAUGAUUCAAAGGUUCCCUUCUUACAUUGCAUUUGUGUGUGUGUGAAUUCUUCCUACCUUGUUCUCCAUAUAUGUCUUAGUUACACUUGUUUUUUUUUUGCAUUUUCAUGAAAAUUAUGGACCCUACUUAUCAAGUUAUAUACACACACUAGAAUUGGAAUGAGAGGUGGAAAAGUGUGCUGUAAAGAAGAAUAAGGAGAGAUAUUGAGUGGUUUUACGGGGCAUGUUGAGUACAGUGGUCGAGAGAUCCAC
ensembl:lncRNA